UACGUAGGGGGCAAGCGUUGUCCGGAAUCAUUGGGCGUAAAGGGUGCGUAGGCGGCGCGGUAAGUCGGAUGUGAAAUCUCGGAGCUUAACUUCGAAACUGCAUUCGAUACUGCCGUGCUUGAGGACUGGAGAGGAGACUGGAAUUUACGGUGUAGCGGUGAAAUGCGUAGAUAUCGUAAGGAAGACCAGUGGCGAAGGCGGGUCUCUGGACAGUUCCUGACGCUGAGGCACGAAGGUCAGGGGAGCAAACGGG
rnacentral:rRNA from 1 species